rnacentral:rRNA from 1 species
CCUACGGGCGGCUGCAGUGGGGAAUUUUGGACAAUGGGCGCAAGCCUGAUCCAGCCAUGCCGCGUGCAGGAUGAAGGCCCUCGGGUUGUAAACUGCUUUUGUACGGAACGAAAAGCCUCUCUCGAAUAAAGAGGGGUGAUGACGGUACCGUAAGAAUAAGCACCGGCUAACUACGUGCCCGCAGCCGCGGUAGUACGUAGGGUGCGAGCGUUAAUCGGAAUUACUGGGCGGGAAGCGUGCGCAAGUGGUGAAGUCCCCGGGCUCAACCUGGGAACGGCCAUUGUGACUGCAAGGCUGGAGUACGGCAGAGGGGGAUGGAAUGCCGCGUGUAGCAGUGAAAUGCGUAGAUAUGCGGAGGAACACCGAUGGCGAAGGCAGUCCCCUGGGCCUGUACUGACGCUCAUGCACGAAAGCGUGGGGAGCAAACAGGAUUAGAUACCCGAGUAGUC